UACAGAGGGUGCGAGCGUUAAUCGGAAUUACUGGGCGUAAAGCGUGCGUAGACGGUUAUUUAAGUCGGGUGUGAAAGCCCCGGGCUCAACCUGGGAAUUGCAUUCGAGACUGAAUAGCUAGGGUACGGUAGAGGGAAGUGGAAUUUCCGGUGUAGCGGUGAAAUGCGUAGAUAUCGGAAGGAACAUCAGUGGCGAAAGCGGCUUCCUGGACCAGCACCGACGUCAGGCACGAAAGCGUGGGGAGCAAAC
rnacentral:rRNA from 1 species